AUACGGAGGGUGCAAGCGUUGUUCGGAAUUAUUGGGCGUAAAGCGCGUGUAGGCGGUCUUUUAAGUCUGAUGUGAAAGCCCCGGGCUCAACCUGGGAAGUGCAUUGGAAACUGAGAGACUUGAGUACGGGAGAGGGUAGUGGAAUUCCUAGUGUAGGAGUGAAAUCCGUAGAUAUCAGGAGGAACACCGGUGGCGAAGGCGGCUGCCUGGACCGAUAUUGACGCUGAGACGCGAAAGCGUGGGUAGC
rnacentral:rRNA from 1 species